CCACUCUUGGAUCGUGACAAAACGAUCAUCUCAUACUUCUUAUCUCCGGUCAGUGAUAUUGGGUCAGUGAUGUACAAGUCAGAAAGUGGGUUGGAAACCUUCAAAAUAAUUUUUGAAAGCUUCCACCCAUCACAAUUCAUAGCUUCUAAUGGAGUGGACGCUUUUGUAGAUGUGUUAAACUAUGAAGAGAAAAAAAGGGACAAAAAAUCAUCACCAUACAGGCUGUUCUUGCCAAGUUCAAUGAUUCCUGAACCAAUUUAUGGGCCCGAGUACAAUGACAAUGCAUGAUUGAAAGUAUUUGAAUCAAACCUUGAAGAUACACUGGAUAAAUAUGGAGUGAAGAAUAUUGAAACAAUGGAUCUUAUCUUCAUUCCAGUUCUAUUAUCUCAACAUUUCUUCUGUAUAUGCUUUCACUUAAAGAAGGGCGAUAUUGAGUUAAUUGAUAACUCUAGGAUCAAACAAGCGUUUGCAUAAAUCUCUCAUUCAAUACCUUAAAAACAAGAAACGACAAAAAGAAUGGAUAAAAAAUUAGAAACAGCAAGGAUAAUAAGGAAAGAAAUGGAUUAGAGGACUCUUGAAAAUGGAGUUGAUUGUGGUGUCUUCACUAUGAGGCAUAUGGAGACAUACAAAGGCAAAACACCAUGGAAUCCGGGGUUUGCCAACGAAGAUAGAAAAGACGUUCAAGAUUCACAACUUCGGUUCUUGAGGUAUCGGUACCUUAGUAAGAUUGUAUUGUGGGAGUACAAUCUUAUAAGAAAACAAGUGUUUGAAGCAGCUAAGGAAUUUGAGAAAAACUCGGCCAAAGUGGAUAUGUUGAAAGAUCUAGAUAAAAAAAUCAGUAAACGAUUGGAUGAGUUCUUUAAUCUUAAAAAAGUGUGAACAAAAAUGUUAUGUAUUUAAAGUUUUUUGG